AGGACAAAGAGGGACAAGGCUUCAGUCUGAUACUGCUUCAACAAACUAAAAAUAAGAUUUUGAAAAAGCAAUUGAUCAAACCACUAUCUCAGGACUAUAGAACGUGCAGGUGCUGCAGGAGCGAGUUGUUUAUCCGAGGAACAUGACAAU